GACGAACCAUCCAAACGUUAUUCGGAAUUACUGGGCUUAAAGGGUGCGUAGGCGGUCUAUUAAGUCAGUGGUGAAAGCCCCAAGCUCAACUUGGGAACUGCCAUUGAUACUGAUGGACUUGAGUACAUUUGAGGUGGGCGGAAUGUGUCAUGUAGCGGUGAAAUGCUUAGAUAUGACACAGAACACCGAUUGCGAAGGCAGCUCGCUAAACUGUAACUGACGCUGAGGCACGAAAGCGUGGGGAGCAAACAGG
rnacentral:rRNA from 1 species